GGACGAACGCUAGGCGGCGUGCUUAACGACAUGCAAGUCGAACGGGGAUCAUCGGGCGGAAGGCUUCGGCCGGAAGGCUGGUGAUUCCAGUGGCGGACGGGUGAGUAACGCGUGAACAAUCUGUCCCAGACAGGGGGAUAACACUUGGAAACAGGUGCUAAUACCGCAUGAGACCACGGUGUACGCAUGGCACAGGGGUAAAAGGAGCGAUCCGGUUUGGGGUGAGUUCGCGUCCGAUUAGCCAGUUGGCGGGGUAACGGCCCACCAAAGCGACGAUCGGUAGCCGACCUGAGAGGGUGAUCGGCCACAUUGGAACUGAGAGACGGUCCAAACUCCUACGGGAGGCAGCAGUGGGGAAUAUUGGGCAAUGGGCGAAAGCCUGAACCCCAGCAACGCCGCGUGAGUGAAGAAGGCCUUCGGGUUGUAAAGCUCUGUUAUGUGGGACGAAGGAAGUGACGGUACCACAUAAGGAAGCCCCGGCUAACUACGUGCCAGCAGCAGC
rnacentral:rRNA from 1 species